rnacentral:rRNA from 1 species
AGUGAACGCUGGCGGUGGGCCUAACACAUGCAAGUCGAACGGCAGCACAGUAAGAGCUUGCUCUUGCGGGUGGCGAAUGGCGGACGGGUGAGGAAUACAUCGGAAUCUACUUUGACGGGGGGGAUAACGUGGGGAAAUUUCUGCUAAUAGAGAAUAUGUUGUACGGGUGGAAGCAGGAGAUCUUCGGAGUUUGGGCGAUUGAAUGAGCCGAUGUCGGAUUAGCUAGUUGGCGAGGUAAGGGCACACCAAGGCGACGAUACGUAGCAGGCCUGAGAGGAUGAUCCGCCACACUGGAACUGAGACACGGUCCAGACUCCUACGGGAGGCAGCAGUAGGGAAUAUUCCACAAUGGGCGCAAGCCUGACGCAGCCAUACCGCGUGAGUGAUGAAGGCCUUCGGCUCGUAAAGCCCUUUUGUUAGGAAAGAAAAUCAGCGUAUUAAUCCCCCGCUAUCCUGACGGUACCCAAACAAUAAGCCCCGGCUAACUUCGUG